GCAAUACUGCCCUCUGCUGAAUUAAACUGGAACGUGUUUUCAUUGUAUCUCAUGCUCUGCAAUGUUCACAGAUAGUGGGGAAUCUCUUCAUUCAAGCCUGUGCUUUGGAACAAGAGGAUCUGAAUUAUAUGUACUGUGAAAUUCUUAAAGGCAACCCACCUUACAGCAGGUGUUUGUCAUUAGUAGAGAUAUUAUAGCAAGGCAAUGUAUAUUUAAAAGAUACCUACUUCCACAUUCCAUAAAGACUAUCCUACCUGUUUUCGUAAGACUAAAUGCAUUAUUCUCACUUCCAGGGAAGACACACGAUUUCAAAGUGGAAUCCAGACCAUUAUGUUAAGCACCUAUGGUCACAAUACAGAACAUGAGGAGAGUUAGUAAACACUGAGCAAAUGACUGAAUCCUGCCCCCUGGGCAUCGUCCUCCGAUGAUGAGGUUCCUCCGUUCACUUAGGAUCUUGAAUUUCACACCUGCUCUUGAAGGCUGGCAGGUUGGCCCUACUGGAGCAGCAGCUUCUGUCUUCUCCACUCUUGAGUCCAGUCCCACGACCUAUCCGUGUGUCAACAACACUACAGCAAGUUCCCUGCCACACUGGCUGCUUUACCCUGCUGCCUGCCAGCUCUGGGUAUGCCAGUCUUCAGCUGCUCAGCCUCUUCAGUCUCCUGGUAUGUCUGUACCUGGCCUAGGAGGAUGUGCACACUGCAGAGAGAUCCCUCAAAAUAGCCUUAAAGUGUUUCAACUAUUAUAUCCUCAAUUUGAGUCCCGUAAUAGAGGUCUGACUUGUGUUGGGUACUCACCUUCUUUAAAAAUCAGACCCCUUUCCAGAGCACAAGUAGCUGCAGCACUUCAGGAAGCUUACCAUCUGUGGAUUUAG
rnacentral:lncRNA from 1 species